rnacentral:rRNA from 1 species
UACGGAGGAUCCGAGCGUUAUCCCGAUUUAUUGGGUUUAAAGGGAGCGUAGGUGGAUUGUUAAGUCAGUUGUGAAAGUUUGCGGCUCAACCGUAAAACUGCAGUUGAAACUGGCAGUCUUGAGUACAGUAGAGGUGGGCGGAAUUCGUGGUGUAGCGGUGAAAUGCUUAGAUAUCACGAAGAACUCCGAUUGCGAAGGCAGCUCACUGGACUGCAACUGACACUGAGGCUCGAAAGUGUGGGUAUCAAACAGG